rnacentral:misc_RNA from 1 species
CAAUGCGAAUGCCACCCGGAACUAGGGCACUCUUAUCUCCAGGCACUGAGUUCUUGUUGAGGGUAAUGGAUGCCAAGUCAAGAAUUUUUUCCACCCGAGCUCCAUCAAUGCCCAGUGGUCUCAAGUCUACAAGAACCAGGUGAUUAUCACUUCCACCAGAAACCAGUCUAUAUCCAAGUUCAACCAAUCGGUUUGCAAGAGCUCUACAGUUGGAGAUGACCUGCUUCUGAUAACUUUUAAAUUCCGGGGAUUGUGCAUGCUUCAAGCAAACUGCUAGUCCCCCAAUUGUGUGGUUGUGAGGACCACCCUGUAGGCCUGGGAAAACAGCAUUAUUGAUGGCAGAUUCCAAAUCAACUCCAAGAACAGGAUCCUUUCUGAAGAAGAUCAUGCCACCUCGAGGACCCCGUAGAGACUUGUGUGUAGUUGUUGUCACAAUAUCACAAUACUCAAAGGGGUCAGUAACUACAGAAGCAGCAACAAGUCCACUUAUGUGAGCCAUGUCCAUCAUGAGAAAAGCACCAACAGCAUCAGCAAUCUUCCUCAUGCGAGGAUAAUCAAAAUCUCGAGGAUACGCACUAGCACCAGCAAUAAUUAGCUUGGGUCGGAAGAGGGUAGCUGUUUUCUCAAGCAUAUCAUAAUCAACCAGGCCUGUAGAUUCAUCAAGUCGAUAUGGCAUAGACUCAAAAUAAAUUGAUGUGCCAGAUACUCGUCUUUUAGGAGUCAUAAACCCAUGAGACAAAUGUCCUCCAUGAGGUAAGUCCAAACCCAUUAUCCUGUCAUGUGGUUUAAGAAGUGCAGUAUAAACCUCAAAAUUAGCAGGAGAACCAGACAAUGGUUGGACAUUAACACCCCACUUCUUGCCAUCUAAGUGGAAUGCAGCCAAAGCCCUUUCUUGACAAAGGAUCUCAAGCUCAUCAAUAUACUCAUUUCCACCAUAGUAUCUUUUACCAGGCAGUCCUUCAGAAUACUUGUUUGUGAGGCAUGAGCCAACUGCUUCCAUCACCGCUCGGGAUGUAAAAUUCUCAGAGGCAAUGAGCUCAAGGCUUUUGAACUGCCUAUUCUUUUCCUUGUUAAUAAUUUCACGCACCUCAGGAUCCGCUUCACUGAGGCCAUAGUCUAUAAAGCUGCUCCUUUCACCUGCACUUUCAGGCACAGGGACAGACACAGAAGAGGGUGGCCUCCCAGUGACCAAGCUACCUUUAAUACUAAAAUAUCUACAAGGCGUCAACGAAUUGACCUCAAUCUGAUGUGGAAACCCAGUAACACUGAACCUUUUUGGAGGGAAGGAUGAUCCCUUGGUCCAAAGGGGCUGUUGUAAAGAACCCAUCACUGCAGCUCCAGUGCACGCCUGCAUUCUCGCUUCAAAUAUUACACAGAGAAAAUUUUCUUCCUUUAAUCUGGAGGAUUGGGAAACAGUAUCUGUGUACAGUAACAAAGCUCCAGAGAAAAAGAGCUUAAACCCUAGUGUUGC